GACGAACGCUGGCGGCGUGCCUAAUACAUGCAAGUAGAACGCAGUUGCGAACGGGUGAGUAACGCGUAGGUAACCUGCCUCAUAGCGGGGGAUAACUAUUGGAAACGAUAGCUAAUACCGCAUACUGUGAGAUGGACCUGAGUUGUAUUAGCUAGUUGUUGAGGUAAAGGCUCACCAAGGCGGCGAUACAUUGCCGACCUGAGAGGGGUAUCGGCCCCACUUGGACUGAGACAUGGGCCAGACUCGUACGGGAGGACGGAGUAGGGAAUCUUCGGAAAUGGACGGAAGGCAGACCGAGCAACGGCGCGUGAGUUAAGAAGGUAUUGGGGUCGGAAAGAUCUGGUGUUAGGGAAGCGGUAACUGACCAAAAAGGGACGGCUAACUACGUGCCAGCAGCCGCGGUAAUAC
rnacentral:rRNA from 1 species